rnacentral:rRNA from 1 species
UGGGGAAUCUUAGACAAUGGGCGCAAGCCUGAUCUAGCGAUGCCGCGUGAGUGACGAAGGCCCUAGGGUCGUAAAGCUCUUUCGCCAGGGAUGAUAAUGACAGUACCUGGUAAAGAAACCCCGGCUAACUCCGUGCCAGCAGCCGCGGUAAUACGGAGGGGGUUAGCGUUGUUCGGAAUUACUGGGCGUAAAGCGCGCGUAGGCGGAUUAGUCAGUUAGAGGUGAAAUCCCGGGGCUCAACCCCGGAACUGCCUUUAAUACUGCUAGUCUUGAGUUCGAGAGAGGUGAGUGGAAUUCCGAGUGUAGAGGUGAAAUUCGUAGAUAUUCGGAGGAACACCAGUGGCGAAGGCGGCUCACUGGCUCGAUACUGACGCUGAGGUGCGAAAGCGUGGGGAGCAAACAGGAUUAGAUACCCGCGUAGUCC